GCCUCUAUUACUCCCCAUACGUAGCACACGUCCUCUCCGUCUAUCAGCCAAUGCUAACCGGCAUGGAGCGCAUGCUCAGUUCCAUUUGGAAGCUGGACGAAUGCCAGGUGUUCCAGGGUUCGCAAUGAGAAGGUGAUUCCCGGAUUUUGCAAGUGGGAUCCUGGAUAUUCUCAGAGAGGGAAAUCUACAGGGUGGAAGUUAUGACUAUGUUUCAUCAACACUUGGUACACUUGAAAGACAGAAGGGUCAUGUCUCCAUCAACAGAGAAGAAUUGGGCAGAAUUCAGGCCAAGACGAUUGGGGAAGCUGAUUUCCUGUCCAUCGAUCUUCACCUUUAUCUCCCCAGAUUGGUAGCAGAGGCACAUCUGUUAAGAACAGGCCAACGAGUUAAUUCCUUCAUGAGCUACAGGAAGUGAAAAAUCCAGAUUCUUCCUCCACCACUCCAUAUAUUUGAAAUAUAUACAUAGUUUUGCCUAUGGAUGACUAAAUACAUAGUCACCAUUGCUCCAGUUAUGGGAAUAAAUAUAUAGAUAUUCCUUGA